rnacentral:rRNA from 1 species
UGGGGAAUAUUGGACAAUGGGCGCAAGCCUGAUCCAGCCACGCCGCGUGAGUGAUGAAGGCCUUCGGGUCGUAAAGCUCUGUGGGGAGGGACGAACCGCCGGAUGUUCAUAGCAUCCGGCAUGACGGUACCUCCUUAGCAAGCACCGGCUAACUUCGUGCCAGCAGCCGCGGUAAUACGAAGGGUGCAAACGUUGUUCGGAAUUAUUGGGCGUAAAGCGCACGUAGGCGGCAUUGCAAGUCGGAUGUGAAAUCCCUCGGCUCAACCAAGGAAGUGCAUCCGAAACGGCAGUGCUUGAGUACGUAAGAGGAACGCGUAAUUCCAGGUGUAGAGGUGAAAGUCGUAGAUAUCGAGAGGAACACCAGUGGCGAAGGCGGCGAUCUGGGAAGAUACUGACGCUGAGGUGCGAAAGCGUGGGGAGCAAACAGG